UACGUAGGUGGCAAGCGUUGUCCGGAAUUAUUGGGCGUAAAGCGCGCGCAGGCGGUCCUUUAAGUCUGAUGUGAAAGCCCACGGCUCAAUCGUGGAGGGUCAUUGGAAACUGGGGGACUUGAGUACAGAAGAGGAAAGUGGAAUUCCACGUGUAGCGGUGAAAUGCGUAAGACGAUGUGGAGGAACACCAGUGGCGAAGGCGACUUUCUGGUCUGUAACUGACGCUGAGGCGCGAAAGCGUGGGGAGCAAACAG
rnacentral:rRNA from 1 species